rnacentral:rRNA from 1 species
GCACAAGCGGUGGAGCAUGUGGUUUGAUUCGAUGCAACGCGAAAAACCUUACCUACCCUUGACAUGUCAAGAAUCUUGCAGAGAUGUGAGAGUGCUCGAAAGAGAACUUGAACACAGGUGCUGCAUGGCCGUCGUCAGCUCGUGUCGUGAGAUGUUGGGUUAAGUCCCGCAACGAGCGCAACCCUUGUCAUUAGUUGCUACGAAAGGGCACUCUAAUGAGACUGCCGGUGACAAACCGGAGGAAGGUGGGGAUGACGUCAGGUCCUCAUGGCCCUUAUGGGUAGGGCUACACACGUCAUACAAUGGCCGGUACAGAGGGCUGCCAACCCGCGAGGGGGAGCCAAUCCCAGAAAACCGGUCGUAGUCCGGAUCGCAGUCUGCAACUCGACUGCGUGAAGUCGGAAUCGCUAGUAAUCGCGGAUCAGCUUGCCGCGGUGAAUACGUUCCCGGGC